rnacentral:rRNA from 1 species
UACGUAGGUGGCGAGCGUUGUCCGGAUUUACUGGGCGUAAAGAGCGCGCAGGCGGUCGUACAAGUCGCGUGUGAAAGCCCCCGGCUCAACUGGGGAGGGUCACGCGAUACUGUUCGACUCGAAGGCAGGAGAGGGAAGUGGAAUUCCCGGUGUAGUGGUGAAAUGCGUAGAUAUCGGGAGGAACACCAGUGGCGAAGGCGACUUCCUGGCCUGUUCUUGACGCUGAGGCGCGAAAGCUAGGGGAGCAAACGGGG